rnacentral:rRNA from 1 species
UACGUAGGGGGCAAGCGUUGUCCGGAAUUAUUGGGCGUAAAGCGCGCGCAGGCGGUUUCUUAAGUCUGAUGUGAAAGCCCCCGGCUCAACCGGGGAGGGUCAUUGGAAACUGGGAAACUUGAGUGCAGAAGAGGAAAGUGGAAUUCCAAGUGUAGCGGUGAAAUGCGUAGAGAUUUGGAGGAACACCAGUGGCGAAGGCGACUUUCUGGUCUGUAACUGACGCUGAGGCGCGAAAGCGUGGGGAGCAAACAGG